rnacentral:rRNA from 1 species
GAUGAACGCUGGCGGCGUGCCUAAUACAUGCAAGUCGAGCGAACGGACGAGAAGCUUGCUUCUCUGAUGUUAGCGGCGGACGGGUGAGUAACACGUGGAUAACCUACCUAUAAGACUGGGAUAACUUCGGGAAACCGGAGCUAAUACCGGAUAAUAUUUUGAACCGAAUGGUUCAAAAGUGAAAGACGGUCUUGCUGUCACUUAUAGAUGGAUCCGCGCUGCAUUAGCUAGUUGGUAAGGUAACGGCUUACCAAGGCAACGAUGCAUAGCCGACCUGAGAGGGUGAUCGGCCACACUGGUACUGAGACACGGUCCAGACUCGUACGGGAGGCAGCAGUAGGGAAUCUUCCGCAAUGGGCGAAAGCCUGACGGAGCAACGCCGCGUGAGUGAUGAAGGUCUUCGGAGCGUAAAACUCUGUUAUUAGGGAAGAACAUAUGUGUAAGUAACUGUGCACAUCUUGACGGUACCUAAUCAGAAAGCCACGGCUAACUACGUG